AUUGAACGCUAGCGGCAUGCCUAACACAUGCAAGUCGAGCGAGAGGCGGACGGGUGAGUACUGUCUGGGCACCUGCCUGAUGGAGGGGGACAACUACUGGAAACGGUAGCCACAACCGCCUACCAUCGGAUGUGUCCGGAUGGGAUUGGCUGGUAGGUGGGGUAAGGGCUCACCUAGGCGACGAUCCAGAGCUGGUCUGAGAGGAUGACCAGCCACACUGGAACGGAGACACGGUCCAGCCUCCAACGGGAGGCGGCAGUGGGGAAUAUUGCACAGUGGGAGGAAGCCUGAUGCAGCCAUGCCGCGUGUGUGAAGGGGGCCUUCGGGUUGUAAUGCACUUUCAGCGAGGAGGCGUUACUCGAAGAAGAAGCACCGGCUAACUCCGUGCCAGCAGCCGCGGUAAUAC
rnacentral:rRNA from 1 species